rnacentral:tRNA from 1 species
GGGCGCGUAGUUCAGUGGUAGAACGCUGUCCUGAUAAGACAGAGGCCGGAGGUUCGAUCCCUCCCGCGCCCACCA